rnacentral:sRNA from 1 species
AGGGCUGGACACCACCUGCAGUGUCCUCUACCAUCUGUGACUGGCAGGAUCAGUUGCAUUCUCACUGUUCUAAACCUUUCUUUUCCAGUCCAUCAGAACUACAUUGGAAACGAUGCAGAGAAGAGCCCUUUCUUCUUGUCCGUGACCCUUUCUGACCAAAACAAUCAACGUGUCCCUCAAUACCGUGCAAUUCUUUGGAGAAAAACAGGUACCCAGAAAAUAUGCCUUCCCUACAGUCCCACAAAAACUCUUUCUGUGAAGUCCAUCUUAAGUGCCAUGAAUCUGGACAAAUUUGAGAAAGGCCCCAGGGAAAUUUUUCAUCCUGAAAUACAAAAGGACUUGCUGGUUCUUGAAGAACAAGAGGGCUCUGUGAAUUUCAAGUUUGGGGUUCUUUUUGCCAAAGACGGGCAGCUCACUGAUGAUGAGAUGUUCAGCAAUGAAAUUGGAAGCGAGCCUUUUCAAAAAUUUUUAAAUCUUCUGGGUGACACAAUCACUCUAAAGGGCUGGAUGGGCUACCGUGGCGGUCUGGAUACCAAAAAUGAUACCACAGGGAUACAUUCAGUUUAUACUGUGUACCAAGGGCAUGAGAUCAUGUUUCAUGUUUCCACCAUGUUGCCAUAUUCCAAAGAGAACAAGCAGCAGGUGGAGAGGAAACGCCACAUUGGAAACGAUAUCGUCACCAUUGUGUUCCAAGAAGGAGAGGAAUCUUCUCCUGCCUUUAAGCCUUCCAUGAUCCG